AACGCGAAGAACCUUACCUUACCCUUGACAUGCAGGGAAUUUUGCUGAGAUGUGGGGGUUCCCGAAGGGUGCCAUAACCACAGGUGCUGCAUGGGUGUCGUCAGCUCGUGUCGUGAGAUGUUGGGGUUAAGUCCCGCAACGAGCGCAACCCUUGUCCUUAGUUGCUACGCAAACAGUGCACUCUAGGGAGACUGCCGGUGACAAACCGGAGGAAGGUGGGGAUGACGUCAAGUCCUCAUGGCCCUUAGGGGAAGGGCUUCACACGUCAUACAAUGGUCGCAACAGGGAGGGUCGCCAACGCGGCAGGCGGAGCCAAUCACAGAAAACCGAUCGUAGUCCGGAUCGCACACUGCAACUCGAGUGCGUGAAGCCUGGAACCGCUAGUAAUCGCGGAUCAGCAUGCCACGGUGAAUACGUUCCCGGGUCUUGUACACACCG
rnacentral:rRNA from 1 species